rnacentral:tRNA from 1 species
GGGGGGAAAACAGACGUCGCGGUGAAUACGUUCUACGGGGUUUCGUACACACCGCCCGCCAAACCACGUAAAGUUGGGCAAUA